rnacentral:lncRNA from 1 species
AACAGAAUAUCAUAAGAACAAACUCUAACAAUCAGUUGAAAAGGGCUCACUCAUCAGAUUGAUACAAAGCAAAUAAAAAACCUCGAACAAAAACGCAGACCGGACGUGGGAGGAUUUAUACAUCCCUUACAACAAAAAGACAUAAAGUACACAUCUGAGUGUAAUCGCAGUUACUGGCAGCUAGUUCAAAACCAAUCACAACUAAUUAAAAAAAAAAAUCAUGCAUCUAAGAUUAAAACAAUCAAUCAGUACACAUCUAAAAUCCAAUAAAUUUAGUGUAAAAGAGGGACGAAAGAUACCAAAGGGACAGUCAAACUCAUAAAUCGAAAUAAUCUGACAAUGCCUUGGCUAAAAAUGAAAAAAAUAAACAGACAAACAACAGUAUACAUGACACAACGUAGAAAACUAAAGAAUGAGCAACCUGAACCCAACCAAAAACUAGGGGUGAUCUCAGGUGCUCCGGAAGGGUAAGCAGAUCCUGCUCCACAUGUGGCACCCGUCGUGUUGCUUAUAAACAAACUCAUCAUAGAUACCAGGAC